rnacentral:rRNA from 1 species
UACGUAGGGUGCGAGCGUUGUCCGGAAUUACUGGGCGUAAAGAGCUCGUAGGCGGCUUGUCGCGUUGUUCGUGAAAAUUUACCGCUCAACGGUGAACUUGCGGGCGAUACGGGCAGGCUAGAGUACUGCAGGGGAGACUGGAAUUCCUGGUGUAGCGGUGAAAUGCGCAGAUAUCAGGAGGAACACCGGUGGCGAAGGCGGGUCACUGGUCCGGAACUGACGCUGAGGUGCGAAAGCGUGGGGAGCAAACAGG